CGCUAUCACUCCUACGGGAGGCAGCAGUGGGGAAUAUUGCACAAUGGGGGGAAACCCUGAUGCAGCCAUGCCGCGUGUGUGAAGAAGGCCUUCGGGUUGUAAAGCACUUUCAGUAGGGAGGAAGGUAGUGUAGUUAACACCUGCAUUAUUUGACGUUACCUACAGAAGAAGCACCGGCUAACUCCGUGCCAGCAGCCGCGGUAAUACGGAGGGUGCGAGCGUUAAUCGGAAUUACUGGGCGUAAAGCGCAUGCAGGCGGCCUGUUAAGUCAGAUGUGAAAGCCCGGGGCUUAACCUCGGAAUUGCAUUUGAAACUGGCAGGCUAGAGUCUUGUAGAGGGGGUAGAAUUUCAGGUGUAGCGGUGAAAAUGCGUAGAGAUCUGAAGGAAUACCAGUGGCGAAGGCGGCCCCCUGGACAAAGACUGACGCUCAGAUGCGAAAGCGUGGGGAGCAAACAGGAUUAGAUACCCUGGUAG
rnacentral:rRNA from 1 species